AUUGAACGCUGGCGGCAUGCUUUACACAUGCAAGUCGAACGGCAGCGCGGGCUUCGGCCUGGCGGCGAGUGGCGAACGGGUGAGUAAUGCAUCGGAACGUACCCAGUAGUGGGGGAUAGCCCGGCGAAAGCCGGAUUAAUACCGCAUACGACCUGAGGGUGAAAGCGGGGGACCGAAAGGCCUCGCGCUAUUGGAACGGCCGAUGUCGGAUUAGCUAGUUGGUGGGGUAAAGGCUUACCAAGGCGACGAUCCGUAGCUGGUCUGAGAGGACGACCAGCCACACUGGGACUGAGACACGGCCCAGACUCCUACGGGAGGCAGCAGUGGGGAAUUUUGGACAAUGGGGGCAACCCUGAUCCAGCCAUGCCGCGUGCGGGAAGAAGGCCUUCGGGUUGUAAACCGCUUUUGUUCGGGAAGAAAUCCUCUGGGCUAAUACCCCGGGGGGAUGACGGUACCGGAAGAAUAAGCACCGGCUAACUACGUG
rnacentral:rRNA from 1 species